rnacentral:rRNA from 1 species
GUUAGGAAUAUUGGACAAUGGGCGAAAGCCUGAUCCAGCCAUGCCGCGUGAACGAUGAAGGCCUUCGGGUUGUAAAGUUCUUUAGCCGAUGAUUAUAAUGACUGUAGUCGGAAAAUAAGCCCCGGCUAACUUCGUGCCAGCAGCCGCGGUAAUACGAAGGGGGCGAGCGUUAUUCGGAAUCACUGGGCGUAAAGCGUGCGUAGGCGGUUUUGUAAGUUAGGAGUGAAAGCCCAGGGCUCAACCUUGGAAUUGCUCUUAAAACUGCAAGGCUAGAAUCUCGGAGAGGAUAGCGGAAUUUCCAGUGUAGCAGUGAAAUGCGUAGAUAUUGGAAGGAACACCAGUGGCGUAAGCGGCUAUCUGGACGAGUAUUGACGCUGAGGCACGAAAGCGUGGGGAUCAAACAGGAUUAGAUACCCCAGUAGUCC